GGUUCGCUGGAGCGCUCACACCUCUCCUUCCUUGUGCACGUGUUGUGAAGCACACACCAUCCACAGUGAGGGUCUCCUGAGCCCAAGCACUCACUGCAGGUCUCGUAUUGGCUGCAGGACUCCACAGGCACCCGGGUGAGCUGCUUCUCAGACAUGAUAUAGAGGUGCUCGUGAUCCAUUGAGAAGGCCAUGUCCCGUAAGAUGGGUCCAGUGUCCACCACCUGCACUAUCUCAUACUCC
rnacentral:lncRNA from 1 species